UUUUUUUAAGGCUUCCUCUCAGUUCAGCAGCUCGGGAACUUUCUGUAUUGCAACAAAAACUCCUCUGAGAAGAUCUCUGAGACUCUAGGAAAUAUCUUUUGCCCCAUCACUGAGGCCUGGCUGUGUGUCUGCUCUUCUCAGCAGUUUGCCAGCCUUUGCCUAUGAUGCAGGCUCUAUGCCUGCUGAGUUCUCCUCAUUCUCUCAGUGUGAGUUCUCCCACAUGUUGCUUGGUGAUUCGUUAUUUUAAUGUGAUUGCUCUUUAAUUGGAUUCUUAGAUUAUAGAGUAUCUAAAAAAUUCACCUGAAAAAUGGCAGAGGCUGAUAAGAGGGGAGAUAUCUGGUGGGUGAGGGGAGGAGGUGUUAAAAGAUGUAAACUGUCAGAGGAAGUUCAUUUUAAAACGAGCUUGGCACCGAAUGAAUGUGGUGAAAGAACACCAUGAAGAAAAGUCUCUGGCCAAGUCUUUGGGGUUGGUUUCUUUGUUGUUUUUUUUUUUCUUUAGCUUUAGUGCUUAAUCCCAUAUAAAUUGCAUUUGGCGUUACUGGAAGAACUGGCUGGCAGAGAAGAUCGGUAUGGCUGUCAGAAAAGGACAAAAUAAUGAGGAUCUUCAGAAGGGACUAGAGGGCACAAGAUAAGAAAAGCUACAAGAGGUACAGAAGCAAAAAGCAUUGUCAGAAAGAGAAACUUGAAUGAACAGAGAUUAUCUUAAAUGAUAAGUUUGUUUUGUAGUAACAUUGGAAAUACAGUAAGAAAUUUCAUUCUAUAUUGCACACUGACUCUUCAAGAAAGAUGAUUUGCAUGUAGGAAAGAAAUUUUCUGGACUGUCCGCAUAGAAAAUGGUGCAGACUUUGUAGGCACCCUGAGCCUCAGGCAGCUAUGCAAAGGAGAGCCCCAGCCCAACCCACAGUCCUCAGCAGCAGCAGAUCUGUGGCUGUGCAUCUGCCAGAGUAGAUGCCCCGCCACCAGGGCUGAGAUGGUGAAACAGAGCCCUGGUCAUGCUGUGGAGACAGUAGGCUGCUGGCAGUUUAUGACAGGGGAUGAUCCGGGUGCAAAGGGAGAGUCCCCAGCCCGUUCAUCACAGUGGCAGGUUGAAGCCCCAGAGAGGCCAGUGUCACACUGCAGCUAUGCGCGUAGGAAGCUCUGAGAGCUGCUCCCUAAUGAGCCCACAGCGUGCCAGUCUUUGGAUUGGCAUGAGCCAACCAUUUGGGUUUUAAUCUCUUCUUCUGCACGCAUAGUGACUAUUCAUGAGAGGAUUACUAUGAAGUGCCCUGAAACUAAAUGGCAUGUUUAGGAUCUCAUGGCUAUGUGAAUAAAAGCUGCAGGCCAGCUUGGAUAGCACAAGCAAUGUGCAGCCUUAUUCACAUUUUCCAUAAAGAAUAUCAAAUACCUUGAAGAUCAAGUACUCAGUGGCAAGCUCAUGCUCCCAUGUCCCCAAACUCAAAAUGCAACAUCAGUUCUAAAAGUUCAGUUGCCACUGCUAGUAUGCAAAUGAAAUACCUCGUAUGGGUGUCACCUCUUCAAGAUCACCUUGUUCUUAUAGAUCAGGAAGUCCGGCAACGGGAGCAGGUAAUCACAUCAGCUGAGAAAGUAGACAAGCCAGUAUCUUCUGCAGAUCUAAUUUUUAAAAAUGUUUUAGCAAGCAUGUGCCUGCCUGGAUUUACCCUGUAAGACAAUAUAAUACCCAGCUAUGUAACUGCAGGGUUACUGCUUGCCAAAAUAAGACUCCUGUAAAGCUGAAGUUUUGCAGGUACUUCAGGCUCACCAUCAUCUCCAGAGCCUAUUUUGCAGUGCUUCACAGUUAAAGUUACACAGAUGCACUCAGCAAAACCAGAUCCCUUCCACUUGGGGUGAGGGGAGCAGAGGCACAGCAGCUAACUGCCAGCCUAAAGAGAGAGGAAAGUGAGUCACGGUCAUGAAAUAGGUCACUUCUACUCCGUGUGAACUCGCUUCUCUAGCACUCAGGUUGGUUUCUGUAAUAGGGAACGGUCUGGGCUCGAGCAUGCUUCUGGGCUUGCUGCUUCUGCUCCAGAUAAAUGGAAAAACGUAAGGAAAUAACUGCUCUUUAAAAAGUGGGUGUUUCCAGCUGAUGAAUAUAUGACUGUGGGUUCUAGAGAAAUUGUUCUAACUUCCACCGAUUGAACAUGUGGUUUAGUUUUGUUUCAUGCAUCUAUGUAGCUUCUUUAAAAAAAAAAAAAAAAAAAAAAACUCUGUAGCAGCUGCACUGGCUUCUGCUAAUAUUUGCUUCCCUAACAGAAAAACCUAAGCAGUUCAGCAAAAGAUGAAAACCCUUUUCUUUAUUUUUAUUUCAAAUCAUGUCUUUGAAACGCGAGUUCCUGCUGGAAGAUAGAACACAAGCUUAUCUAUAGCGAGUGGGAGGUUGUGUUGUUAGACCUUCUUUCAGGAAGCCUCUUUGACCCCACACAGGAUAUUUUACAACGUUUGAAGAUUUAGAGAUGAUAGCAAUAUUUUUUCCAGGAAAUUUCUCAAAGAAGAGGGAGGGGUAUCAUUAUGGUCGUUGUUUUGUUGCAGCAGAUAGACCGCUGUCUGGAGACACUGUCCUUGCUGGAAAAUUGAUUAAGGUUCAGUUUGAAAAAUAGGCACUUCCUCUCCUUUUAGUUACCAUAUUAGGUUUUCAAAAAGGGAAAAAAAAAAAAAUCUUGUUUCUCAUGUUCCUGUUACUUCCCUAUGUCACAACCACUUACUGAACGUGAAGCAAGCUGCUGCUGCUUUUUUACCUCCCCCUCUAGGAAACAGUUGCUUUAGGACUGAUUCUGGUAACCUGAUACCACUUGAUGUAUUUUUGCUGGAAUAUGGAGCCUACAUAAAUUGCACCAUAAGCAAAUUUCUUUAUAAUGGAAGGAUCAGGAAGCUGCAGCUUGGCAGGCCAUUUCAUUGGUGUGUUUUUUUUAAGGUGGAUUUUCCAGACACUUUUUAACAGAUGAUACUGCAGACUUUUGCAAAAGGUAUUAGGAAUAUACAAUUGUCACUGUUUGGAUGGAGCGUCCCACCUGUAGACUAAGUGCCUUAUACUCAAAAAAGAUGCUGUCUGCCUGCCAGAUACCAUUCUACAACUGAAAGAAAAGCUGUUGUUGUUUACUGAAUGUGCCUAGCUAUUUACAUGUAUUACCAGUGUCACACGAAUCCAAAGACCCUUGCUGAAAGCAACUCCCAUCUUCACAUGGUCUCAAGUACAGGCAACAAAGUUAGUCCCUUCCUGCAGAUGUGAACUUGGAAAGAAAAAAAAAAAAAAAUAGAAAAAGAAGCAUCUCACCGAAACAUCCUUCCUUUCUGACUGGGACACAGCAGGUGGCACAGGGACUUCUUUGGAUCCAGGAUGGGGAGAUGUUGGCAACUCUGCAAUGCAGCGUGAUGCAGGCGGGGGUCCUUCCAGCACUAAUCCCCUAAAGGAGCUGAAACAGAGUUUCAGGCAGGAGCAUUUCUUCUCAUCUGUUACAGCUAGAGCAAGAUGAACCAAACCAGCUGGAUCCGCUGCAUGCUGAGUGCAGCCCAGGACUCCCCUGCAGUUUUACCCUGCUGUCCUUCCCCAGUAAACUGAGCCUGUACUCCAAACUUUUUGUUUGUUUGUUUUACAUUGCUUGCAUUGGAAGUGAUGUUUAUUCAAGGAGCCAGAGGGAGACUGAAACCCUUUGGGCAUCCUCAGGGCAUAUGUGGCAAGUGUCACUGUGAGAGAAGCUUCCCCAGGCUGCUUUGCCAGCACAUGCCUGGAUCCUGCAGGGCUUCACCUCUGAUGGCAGAGGAGAAGCAGAGCCUCGAGGCUCCCUUAUUCCCUUGAGGAUAUUGCCAGCCAGGGUGCCAGACGGCCUGGACAGUUGCCUGUAGCACCAAUGCCAUAGCUGCUAACCAAACUGCCCCAGGUGAGGAGGCAGCAGGCGGGUAAAGCAGCACCGCCCACAGGUCCCACCAUCAUGGGCUGUGCUUCAGCUGGUGGGAGGCUUCCUGUCCUCUCACUAGAGCUUGUGCUUUUAGUCUGACACAGGCUGAGGUGCUGGGGGAUGCUCUGAGCUCUGCAGACCAUGCAAGCUCUGUCACUAUGUCACGCAAAGGGCAGAGCUCCCUUACAACCCAAUAAAGCUCCCAGACCACUCAGACUUGGUUAUGGUGUCACUGCACUAUUAUAUGUCACCAGGAUGGUGCACAGGAGUCCACCAGCCUUCCCUCUCACUGCAGCAUGGGGAUGCACGUUGCAUGUGGCUGAGCUGUUCAUCAGGCUGCACGGCACAGGAAUUUCUCCUGAUAAGGUAAACCCUUGCGAUCUGCCCAGAAACAGAGCCUGGCCUGCAGGAGGAAAGGAAGAAGAUUCCCACGGUAUUCCUUUCACUGGAAAGAAUGCUGCCAAGCCACCAGGUUGGAGCAAGCACGAGAUGCAGGGCAGGAAGGCAGCUCUUGUCUUAUCAGCCGUAGGCCGCCACCUCAGGAGCCCUUUGUCAUAGCAUGACACAUGUGAAGGGCUCACCAUGCAUCAGAAAGGCUUCUGGGUUUGGGCUUCUUCUGCUAAACAGCUUGUAUGGUGAUGAAUGAGUGCUUUAAACUUACAGCACGUUGCUUCAUUCAUCUCCACAACUAAGCAAUUCCUAACAGGAAUUUCACUGGGCUCUCUGGAAACUCAGUGCUCAUAAAUCACCUUGAGAGCCUUUCCUCAAAGGCCGUAAGAUGCAAAACAUUUUUUCUUGUUAUGUACAAAUAGUGUAAAAAGCAUAACUCCAGGUUGUAAAUCCACAGCCUAGUGAUAAAGACCAACCCAAAUUCACACUGCUCAGGGUUUGUCUACCCUGGAGCAGGCUGGCCACAUCCACUCUGUAGUGCCUUUGGCCUGGGUGUCCUCUAGGUCCCAUGUACCAUAAUCAUGGCUAUGAAACUUAGCUUUUCUUUCACAUGUAACUCCUUUGUUACCUACUCUUUGGUCUUAUGCAUUAACUAUUCAAAAAAAAAAAAAAGUAUAUCAUUAAAAAGCCCCCUUUAAAACACAUGUUUAGAACAUGUGGCAAUCUGGUUUCCCUAAGCAAAAGUCACCUCUGCUGCUUGCUAACUGCUAAGGAAGAGUUGCUCU